rnacentral:rRNA from 1 species
UACAGAGGUCCCGAGCGUUGUUCGGAUUCAUUGGGCGUAAAGGGUGCGUAGGCGGCUUCCUAAGUUUGAUGUUAAAUCCUGGGGCUCAACCCUGGAACUGCAUUGAAUACUGGGAGGCUAGAGUACUGGAGAGGAAACUGGAAUUUACGGUGUAGCAGUGAAAUGCGUAGAGAUCGUAAGGAAGACCAGUGGCGAAGGCGACUGUCUGGUUGACAACUGACGCUGAGACUCGAAAGCAUGGGGAGCAGACAGG